GUAGGUGGCAAGCGUUGUCCGGAAUUAUUGGGCGUAAAGCGCGCGCAGGCGGUUCUUUAAGUCUGAUGUGAAAGCCCACGGCUCAACCGUGGAGGGUCAUUGGAAACUGGAGAACUUGAGUACAGAAGAGGAAAGCGGAAUUCCACGUGUAGCGGUGAAAUGCGUAGAGAUGUGGAGGAACACCAGUGGCGAAGGCGGCUUUCUGGUCUGUAACUGACGUUGAGGCGCGAAAGCGUGGGGAGCAAACAGGGAUUAGAUACCCUGGUAGUCCACGCCGUAAACGAUGAGUGCUAAGUGUUAGGGGGGUUUCCGCCCCCUUAGUGCUGCAGCUAACGCAUUAAGCACUCCGCCUGGGGAGUACGGCCGCAAGGCUG
rnacentral:rRNA from 1 species